CCCCGUUGAUCCUGCGGGAGAUAGCUGCUAUGAGCAUCCGAUUAAGCCAUGCAAGUCAAGUAGCAAUACUGGCGAACUGCUCAGUAACACGUCGGUAACCUGCCCUAUGGUCGAGCAUAACCUCGGGAAACUGAGGGUAAUUCUUGAUAGGUGAUACAGCCUGGAAUGGCUCGUCACCGAAACACGUGCCGUAGGAUGGGCCGGCGGUUGAUUAGGCUGUUGGUGGGGUAACGGCCCACCAAACCAAAGAUCAAUACGGGCCUUGAGAGAGGUAGCCCGGAGAGGGACACUGAGAUACGGGUCCCAGCCCCACGGGGUGCAGCAGGCGCGAAACCUUUACAAUGCACGAAAGUGUGAUAGGGGGAUACUCAGUGCUUACGACUCUGUUGUAGGCUUUUGUCAAUCGUAAAUAGAUUGGCGAAUAAGUGGUGGGUAAGACUGGUGCCAGCCGCCGCGGUAACCCCAGCGCCACAAGUGGUUAUCACGAUUAUUGGGCCUAAAGCGUUCGUAGCCGGUUUGGUAAAUCUCCUGUGAAAUUGUUCGGCUAAACCGGACAGCGUGCAGGAGACACUGCCAGACUCGAGACCGGGAGGCGUAAGAAGUAUUCCAUGGGGACUGGUAAAAUGGGAUAAUCCAUGGAAGACUACCGAUGGCGAAGGCAUCUUACGAGAACGGAUCUGACGGUGAGGAACGAAAGCCAGGGGAGCGAACCGGAUUAGAUACCCGAGUAGUCCUGGCCGUAAACGCUGUGAACAAGGUGUCGCGUAUCUCACGAAGAUGCGCGGUGUCGAAAUGAAGAUGCUAAGUUCACCGCCUGGGAAGUACGGUCGCAAGACUGAAACUUUAAGGAAUUGGCGGGGGCGCACUACAAGGGGUGCGGCGUGCGGUUUAAUCCAACUCAGCGCGGAGAACCUUACUAGGGGCGACGGCAGGAUGAAGAUCGUGCUAAAGACACUAUCAGACGAGCCGAGAGGUAGUGCAUGGCCGCCGUCAGCUCGUGCCGUAAGGUGUCCAGUUAAGUCUGGUAACGAGCAAGACCUGCAUCCACAAUUGCUAACGACCUCUGGGAUCGAGCACAUUGUGGAGACUGCCCGUGUAAACGGGAGGAAGGUGCAGGCUACGGUAGGUCUGUAUGCUCCGAAUCCCCUAGGCUACACGCGCGCAACAAUGGUACGGACAAUGGGAUGCAACACCGAAAGGUGAAGCAAAUCCUCAAAACCCUACCCUAGUUCAGAUCGAGGCUUGCAACCCAGCCUCGUGACGUCGUAAUCCCUAGUAAUCAGUUGUCAUCAUCCACUGGUGAAUAUGUCCCUGCGCCUUGCACACACCGCCCGUCAAACCAACCGAGCAGGGUUUAGGUAAAACUCGCUUUUUUGAGCAAGUUGAAUCUAGACUCAGUGAGGUGGGUUAAGUCGUCACAAGGUA
rnacentral:rRNA from 1 species